AGAGAGAGACAUGCGCGCAUAUCAAUAAGCGGAGGAAAAGAAACUAACUAAGGAUUCCCUCAGUAACGGCGAGUGAAGCGGGAAGAGCUCAAAUUUGAAAUCUUCAAGGUUCUACCUUGACGAAUUGUAGUUUAAAGAAGUGUUUUCUGCUGAAGUUUUGGUAAAAGUUCUUUGGAAUAGGACAUCAUAGAGGGUGAGAAUCCCGUAUUUGACCAUUAUUUUCAGCUUUGUGAUACACUUUCAAAGAGUCGGAUUGUUUGGGAAUGCAGUCCAAAAUGGGUGGUAAAUUUCAUCUAAAGCUAAAUAUUGGCGAGAGACCGAUAGCGAACAAGUACCGUGAGGGAAAGAUGAAAAGAACUUUGAAAAGAGAGUUAAACAGUACGUGAAAUUGUCAAAAGGGAAGCGUUUGACACCAGUGUUGUUUUCUCGAAAAUCAAUUAAAAAUGGCUCGAUUUUGUAUUGCUGAGACCUUAAAAGCUCACUGUACAUUUUUCGUGUCUUUUUUAAUGCACUUUUCGUUUAACAAGUCAACAUCAGUUUCUUUUGUUGUAAAAGGGUCAUUGGAAGGUGGCUUUCUUUUCGGAGAAAGUGUUUAUAGCCUUUGGCCUCUGCAAUCGAAGAGACUGAGGUCUGCAGCGUAGACUCUUCGGGGUUAGAUACAUUUGUGCUAAGUUAUAGCUUUUUAUAGACAACUUGUUGACUAUAAUUAGUCUUGUAGCUUACUCGCUUAUGCUAUUUUACCUACGCUUAGGAUGUUGAAGAUGUAGCACAUCA
rnacentral:rRNA from 1 species